GAUGAAGAACGUAGCGAAACGCGAUAUGUAAUGUGAAUUGCAGAAUUCAGUGAAUCAUCGAAUCUUUGAACGCACAUUGCGCCCCCUGGUAUUCCGGGGGGCAUGCCUGUCCGAGCGUCAUUGCUGCCCUCAAGCACGGCUUGUGUGUUGGGCCCCGUCCUCCGAUCCCGGGGGACGGGCCCGAAAGGCAGCGGCGGCACCGCGUCCGGUCCUCGAGCGUAUGGGGCUUUGUCACCCGCUCUGUAGGCCCGGCCGGCGCUUGCCGAUCAACCCAAAUUUUUAUCCAGGUUGACCUCGGAUCAGGUAGGGAUACCCGCUGAACUUAAGCAUAUCAAUAAGCGGAGGA
rnacentral:misc_RNA from 1 species